GCACCUCGCUGCUCCUCGGCCCUCGCGGCCCAAACCUGGCCCUGCCGGGUCCCAGCCCCCAGUGGCUUUCGGGACAGGGGCGGAGCCGGGCACCGGUUCUGUUCCCCUAACCCUUGGCCUCUGGCCUGCUGGUAUAGAAGAGGCCGAGAGGCGGCGCCCGGGAGGGGCCAGCCCUGCGCCCGCGCCCCCCGCCCCCACGCCGCAGGAAGUGGCCCGGGCGGCCUAGGAAGGGGAAGAGCCGAGUUGCCCCAGCCCCGCACCCCCAGCCCCAGCCCCGCGUGCAGCUCGCACCCCUUCCCACGCCUGUUCGGGGGAGAGCCCCGGGCCUGGAGUGGGAAGCCUGGCUCCAGCUCUGGUUACCUGCAGUGACUCCCCAGGCCGUUUAGGCGAGUCCAUUGGGCCGCCUCUGCCUCGGUUUCCCCACCUAACCACGGAAGGUGCUCCUCCCUUCCAGGCAUCUGUGGUCUUCGAGCUCCACGCGGGAGAGGCGCCGGUCUGGCACCUCCUGCCCAGGGUCGGCGCCUCCUGGCUCUCGGGGAGGGGGGCAUCCUCCAUCCCCUGCACCUGCCUCGAGAGGAACCAGGGACAGAGCACCCCCACCCCCACCAGGAGCUCCGGAAAAACGGCUUCAGAAGAGCAAAUAUACACACACACCCACCUCCCGCCCCAAACAUCCCCGAAGAAAGGAGUGUAUCUCUCUCAGAUGAGAUACAAGUUGGUCCCUUCCCUUGCGUCCCUCCUGUUCCUUCAAGAGGAGGACUGUCUACCCACCCCGAAGCUUCAUGGAGAGAGAGCACACCGUCGUUAUUCAAUAUGUAGUUUUGAAUUUAACUAGAGCAAAGAAGAAAGCAAAUUCAGGUGGAAGGAAGAAGAAAAGGGAAAAGGGCUGUCCCCAUCCUUCUAAGGAGAUGGUGCAGUGGCUCACCUUUGGGAGGCCGAGGCAGGCAGAUCACUUGAGCUCAGCAGUUUGAGACCAGCCUGGGUAACAUAGUGAAACCCCAUCUCUACAGAAAUUAAAAAAUUAGCCAGACAUGGCGGCGCACACCUGUGGUCCCAGCUACUCAGGAGGCUGCGGCAGAAGUAUGCCUUGAGCCAAAGAGGCAGAGAUUGCAGUGAGCCAAGAUCAUGCUACUGCACUCCAGCCUGGGCAACGAAGCAAGACUGUCUCAGGAAAAAAAAAAAAAAUGAUCAUUUUUCUCUGUCCACUUGGUGGGUCAACUGAAUGGUAUUCCUGUGUCUUCUACUCUCCUCCCACUUGGAAACCCACUGAGAUGCUCUUCCGAAGGCCAGUGCAUGCUGGGCCACACGAGACAGAGCUCAGGCUGGAGGAGCCUCAUACCCGCCCCUCUAGAUGCUUAUAAAAAUACUUCCCACCUUUGAAUCAAGUGGAAAAUGAGGCUCUCCAGUCAAAAGCCGCGACUGUAUAGAAAGCCCUGAGUUGCCCAAUCUGUUCACAUGGCAUCACCAACCUCUGUGUCAUCAUCAAGCUGUCCAGGGGACUCGAUGGCCACCUGGCCAGGAACUGCGGGCUGAUUGGAAGCUGUUGUUCCCAUUGUAUAAUCACACACAUCAUAAAAUAAUCAGUCUUGUCUCUAUUUACAAUUUUGAUGUUUUGUUCAUCACAAAUUUUUAUAUUAAUUUUUAGUUUAACAAACAUUGCACUAAAAUAAUGUUUCUCUU
rnacentral:lncRNA from 1 species